UACGGGGGGGGGCGAGCGUUGUUCGGAAUUACUGGGCGUAAAGGGUUUGUAGGUGGCCUGCUAAGUCAGACGUGAAAUCCCUCAGCUUAACUGGGGAACUGCGUCUGAUACCGGCGGGCUUGAGGACAGGAGAGGAACGCGGAAUUCCAGGUGUAGCGGUGAAAUGCGUAGAUAUCUGGAGGAACACCGGUGGCGAAGGCGGCAUCCUGGACCAAUAUUGACGCUGAGGAGCGAAAAGCCAGGGGGAGCAAAGCGGG
rnacentral:rRNA from 1 species